rnacentral:rRNA from 1 species
UAAUACGUAGGUGACGAGCGUUAUCCGGAUUUAUUGGGCGUAAAGCGUACGCAGGCGGUUGAUUAAGUCUGACGUGAAACCUCCCGGCUUAACUGGGAGCGGUCGUUGGAAACUAAUUGACUUGAGGCAAUGAGAGGUAGGCAGAAUUCCCGGUGUAGUGGUGGAAUGCGUAGAUAUCGGGGGGAAUACCAGUGGCGAAAGCGGCCUACCAGCAUUGUACUGACGCUCAUGUACGAAAGCGUGGGGAGCAAACGGGAUUAGAUACCCCGGUAGUCCACGCCGUAAACGAUGAACACUAGGUGUGGGAGGCCUUAAAAACCUUCUGUACCGAAGCCAACGCGAUAAGUGUUCCGCCUGGGAAGUACGGCCGCAAGGCUA